GACAUUUGGUAGAGACUGUUGAAGCCACCUGGUCCCAGCAGAUCCCAGAGAAUGGCCACAUUCGCGUGCUGGACCAAAGUUGUUAAGAGUGAAGCCUGGUGCCAGAUGUAU
rnacentral:rRNA from 1 species